AAAAAAAACGGAUAUACUUCACAUGUGGUACAGACGCUGUUGGGAAGAUAAGGUACAGACGGAAAUUGAAUGUAUAUUUGUAAGCAACGAUAAACCAUUGUUAAUGAAAAAACAAUUCUGAGCGGAAUUCAGUUGAUAGCGUUACUUUGUCAACUAUACAAUAUAUGGUACACAUUAUAUUAUGAUAGAAUGAUUACAACAAGGCGCAUUUCCAUGACAACAAUGUUUGUUUAAAAAAGAUCAAAAUAAUAAAAAUGGUC